rnacentral:sRNA from 1 species
GCUGGGCACAGUGGAGCAUGCCUGUGAUCCCAGCAGCUUGGGAGGCUGAGGCAGGAGGAUUGCAAGUUGAAAGCCAGCCUCAGCCACUUAGUGAGGCUCUAGGUAACUCAGUGAGACCCUGUCUCUA